rnacentral:rRNA from 1 species
GGUUAAGCGACUAAGCGUACACGGUGGAUGCCCUGGCAGUCAGAGGCGAUGAAGGACGUGCUAAUCUGCGAAAAGCGUCGGUAAGGUGAUAUGAACCGUUACAGCCGGCGAUGUCCGAAUGGGGAAACCCAGUGCAAUUCGUUGCACUAUCGUUUGAUGAAUACAUAGUCAAACGAGGCGAACCGGGGGAACUGAAACAUCUAAGUACCCCGAGGAAAAGAAAUCAACCGAGAUUCCCCCAGUAGCGGCGAGCGAACGGGGAGCAGCCCGGAGUCUGAAUCAGCUUGUGUGUUAGUGGAAGCGUCUGGAAAGUCGCAGGGUACAGGGUGAUACUCCCGUACACUAAAACGCACAGGCUGUGAACUCGAAGAGUAGGGCGGGACACGUGGUAUCCUGUCUGAAUAUGGGGGGACCAUCCUCCAAGGCUAAAUACUCCUGACUGACCGAUAGUGAACCAGUACCGUGAGGGAAAGGCGAAAAGAACCCCGGCGAGGGGAGUGAAAAAGAACCUGAAACCGUGUACGUACAAGCAGUAGGAGCCCACUUGUUGGGUGACUGCGUACCUUUUGUAUAAUGGGUCAGCGACUUAUAUUCUGUAGCAAGGUUAACCGUAUAGGGGAGCCGCAGGGAAACCGAGUCUUAACUGGGCGUUAAGUUGCAGGGUAUAGACCCGAAACCCGGUGAUCUAGCCAUGGGCAGGUUGAAGGUUGGGUAACACUAACUGGAGGACCGAACCGACUAAUGUUGAAAAAUUAGCGGAUGACUUGUGGCUGGGGGUGAAAGGCCAAUCAAACCGGGAGAUAGCUGGUUCUCCCCGAAAGCUAUUUAGGUAGCGCCUCGUGAAUUCAUCUUCGGGGGUAGAGCACUGUUUCGGCUAGGGGGUCAUCCCGACUUACCAACCCGAUGCAAACUACGAAUACCGAAGAAUGUUAUCACGGGAGACACACGGCGGGUGCUAACGUCCGUCGUGAAGAGGGAAACAACCCAGACCGCCAGCUAAGGUCCCAAAGUCAUGGUUAAGUGGGAAACGAUGUGGGAAGGCCCAGACAGCCAGGAUGUUGGCUUAGAAGCAGCCAUCAUUUAAAGAAAGCGUAAUAGCUCACUGGUCGAGUCGGCCUGCGCGGAAGAUGUAACGGGGCUAAACCAUGCACCGAAGCUGCGGCAGCGACACUAUGUGUUGUUGGGUAGGGGAGCGUUCUGUAAGCCGUUGAAGGUGGCCUGUGAGGGUUGCUGGAGGUAUCAGAAGUGCGAAUGCUGACAUAAGUAACGAUAAUGCGGGUGAAAAACCCGCACGCCGGAAGACCAAGGGUUCCUGUCCAACGUUAAUCGGGGCAGGGUGAGUCGACCCCUAAGGCGAGGCCGAAAGGCGUAGUCGAUGGGAAACAGGUUAAUAUUCCUGUACUUGGUGUUACUGCGAAGGGGGGACGGAGAAGGCUAUGUUGGCCGGGCGACGGUUGUCCCGGUUUAAGCGUGUAGGUGUGUGUUCCAGGUAAAUCCGGUUCACUUUAACACUGAGGCGUGAUGACGAGGCACUACGGUGCUGAAGUGACAAAUGCCCUGCUUCCAGGAAAAGCCUCUAAGCAUCAGGUAACAUCAAAUCGUACCCCAAACCGACACAGGUGGUCAGGUAGAGAAUACCAAGGCGCUUGAGAGAACUCGGGUGAAGGAACUAGGCAAAAUGGUGCCGUAACUUCGGGAGAAGGCACGCUGAUACGUAGGUGAAGUGGUUUACCCAUGGAGCUGAAAUCAGUCGAAGAUACCAGCUGGCUGCAACUGUUUAUUAAAAACACAGCACUGUGCAAACACGAAAGUGGACGUAUACGGUGUGACGCCUGCCCGGUGCCGGAAGGUUAAUUGAUGGGGUUAUCCGUAAGGAGAAGCUCUUGAUCGAAGCCCCGGUAAACGGCGGCCGUAACUAUAACGGUCCUAAGGUAGCGAAAUUCCUUGUCGGGUAAGUUCCGACCUGCACGAAUGGCGUAAUGAUGGCCAGGCUGUCUCCACCCGAGACUCAGUGAAAUUGAACUCGCUGUGAAGAUGCAGUGUACCCGCGGCAAGACGGAAAGACCCCGUGAACCUUUACUAUAGCUUGACACUGAACACUGGUCCUUGAUGUGUAGGAUAGGUGGGAGGCUUUGAAGUGUGGACGCCAGUCUGCAUGGAGCCAUCCUUGAAAUACCACCCUUUAAUGGCUGGUGUUCUAACGUGGGCCCGUAAUCCGGGUUGCGGACAGUGUCUGGUGGGUAGUUUGACUGGGGCGGUCUCCUCCUAAAGAGUAACGGAGGAGCACGAAGGUCAGCUAAUCCUGGUCGGACAUCAGGAGGUUAGUGCAAUGGCAUAAGCUGGCUUGACUGCGAGCGUGACGGCGCGAGCAGGUGCGAAAGCAGGUCAUAGUGAUCCGGUGGUUCUGAAUGGAAGGGCCAUCGCUCAACGGAUAAAAGGUACUCCGGGGAUAACAGGCUGAUACCGCCCAAGAGUUCAUAUCGACGGCGGUGUUUGGCACCUCGAUGUCGGCUCAUCACAUCCUGGGGCUGAAGUAGGUCCCAAGGGUAUGGCUGUUCGCCAUUUAAAGUGGUACGCGAGCUGGGUUUAGAACGUCGUGAGACAGUUCGGUCCCUAUCUGCCGUGGGCGCUGGAGAAUUGAGGGGGGCUGCUCCUAGUACGAGAGGACCGGAGUGGACGCAUCACUGGUGUUCGGGUUGUCAUGCCAAUGGCAUUGCCCGGUAGCUAAAUGCGGAAGAGAUAAGUGCUGAAAGCAUCUAAGUACGAAACUUGCCCCGAGAUGAGUUCUCCCUGACUCCUUGAGAGUCCUGAAGGAACGUUGAAGACGACGACGUUGAUAGGCCGGGUGUGUAAGCGCAGCGAUGCGUUGAGCUAACCGGUACUAAUGAACCGUGAGGCUUAACCUU